UACGUAGGGGGCUAGCGUUGUCCGGAAUUAUUGGGCGUAAAGAGCGUGUAGGCGGUCCGGUAAGUCAGCUGUGAAAGUCAAGGGCUCAACCCUUGAAUGCCGGUUGAUACUGUCGGGCUAGAGUCCGGAAGAGGCGAGUGGAAUUCCCGGUGUAGCGGUGAAAUGCGCAGAUAUCGGGAGGAACACCAAUGGCGAAGGCAGCUCGCUGGGACGGUACUGACGCUGAGACGCGAAAGCUAGGGGAGCAAACGGG
rnacentral:rRNA from 1 species